GGACCCCUGGGGCUUUGGGCUGGCCUUGGGGACCUAGGCAGAGGAAGCCACCCAGAAGGCUGUGUCCCCAGGGCGAGAAGCGGGCCUGGUCUGAGCCUCAGCCAGUCCUAGGGCGUCUGGGGGUGAUGGUUGAGUAGCUGGAUAAAGGAAGCAGCCACAGAGAGGAGGUUUGGGGGGCAGGGCCCACCCUGCGGUUCCAGGCAGGGGCGGGGCGGGCGCGAUGGGCGGGGGCCUUGGGGCUCCUCGCCGGCUCAGUGAGUGGAGCGGGCGGACCGGCAGCAUGCGACGGCGAGGCCGGCGGAGCCGGGACGGGCAGGCGCCCUCGCCCUGCCUCGAGGCCCUGUGCUUCGACCUGCUGGUCCGCGACUGCGUGGCCUGCAGCUUUCUGCACACGUCGGAGCCCAGACCAGCCUUGCCUCCCGCUGGCCCUCCCCCUCCCUCGCCAGGCUUCCCCUGUGCCCGCUGCCCGUCCUCCCUGUCCCUUCUGUCCGCAGCGGGGACCAGCAGCCUGGAGCCCGGGACGGCGCUGCAGCCGCAGGAGUCGGUGGGCUCGGGGGUGGCGCCGGCCGAGGGGGCGCUGCCGCUGCCCGCGCUGCUCGUGGGCGCCCCCGCGGGGCUGGGCCUGGCGCUCGCCCUGCUGCUGCUCGGCCUGCUGAGCUGGCGGCGGCGCUGCGGCCGCGGGGAGGCGCGCCCCGAGGUGGCGGCCGCGGAGCCGCAGGAGGAGCCCCUGGACCAUGUCAUCAUCCUGCCCCCGGAACCCCUGCUCGCCACUGCUCCUGUUUGGCCUCCACCCAGAGAUGACCCAGGUGCCACCCCAACUGCCCACAGUGUCCCUGUGCCAGCCACUGAGCUGGGUUCCACGGAGCUGGUGACCACCAAAACAGCUGGCCCAGAACAACAGUGAUUCUGGGGACAGGAGAAGAGGGGGCCUGCUCUUCUGCCUGCCAUCAGUCAGGGGCUUGGAGGGCAUACCUCAUCUCCUUUCCUGAGCAAACAGCCUCCCCUACCCCCCACUCCAAGCUAAGCCUACAGAACCUCAGACACCGCAGACCACAGAGUUCAGCAACCUGGCAUCCUAUGACAUGUCUACACCUGCCUUCAAACCGCCCCUGCUUUGGUAACCCUCAACUGUGUGGCUGAACCCCAGUGCCGUUGAGUGGUUUGGGGCAGGCCAUGUGGUAGGCUUUCCCUUUCCUGUGGGAAGUCACUGACAAGCCAGAAUAGAUGGAGGAAAAGGGUGUGGGGGGGGGGGCUUAGUUUGUAGAGGGCUGUUGCAUUUCCUUCGGACUCUCUGGCAGAGACUGGUUUUUACAUGGGUACUUAUGCAGCGAUCAGGAACCUGUGGACAGCGCUUGGGACUUAGUGCUGACUGACUUGAAGAACUGGCCCAGGAUGUGUUGAGUCUCCAGUGUCUGUGCCCAAGAAGACUUCCAAACUUAGCCCCAUGUACUAGAGCCUCUAGUGUCAUUUUCCCUGGGAGCAUGAAGCAGCUUCCCAUACUAGAGAGGAGGUGAGCAGCCUCUGGAUGCCAGUUUGCAUAGCAGACCUGCCAUGCUCAUCCUCAAGACCACCCAGGGGCCCGGCUACCAGCUGGAGGUGCCUUCAUCCAGCUUCUUGUAACCUUCUUGUAACCUUGAACCAGUUGGUCCUGAUGCUCCUUGGUCCCCGCUCUCUGUGGCCUGCUCUCCCUGAGCCCCUGUCCUGAGGUCACCUGGGCAUUCUGUGCCAGCUCCUGGGCUCACCCACCACACUCUCUUCUCAGUGCUCCCUUCUCAGAGAUAUUCCUUGCUUUGGGGACCAUUCCCCCAAAUUGGGGACACUCCUCCACAGGCUUACAAGCCCAGGCAACAUCCUUGGAGUGUUUAGUGGCCUUGGCAGGAACACUGCACUAAGAAUCAGAAGAUGGGGUUCUGGGGAUCAUUCUGUCCCCACUGUAGAACCCCAUCCAUCUGUUCCAGGCCUCAGCUCCUGCCUGCUCACCUCUCCCUGUCCUGCCCCUUAGAGUUCUCUGCUGACAACCCUUCCCUGUCCCACUCCCCCAGCUCAGAAGCCAGCCAGCCAUGGAUACUCACAUCUAAGUCUGUCCCUCCCACCAGAGCUAGGUGGCAGGGGUGAAGCCAGGUGGCAGGGGUGUGGCCUGCCCUCCACUCCCCCCUCUUCUCAGGUCUGGGAGAGCCCCAGCCAUUCCCCCACCAGCCCUACCUCCUACUCCAUUGUGUUCCCCCUUAGCUAGAAGCUAGAGCUAAAGCAGUGGUGAGGCCCCUCUGGGGCUCAGACAUGCAAACCCUGGCACUUCUGGAUCCUGGCUGAACCCCAGCUGAACCCCCGGCUAGGCAGCUGUUUCCUCUCUAGUCUCAGUUUCCUUUUCUAAAACGCCAAGGGUUAGUACUGAGUGCUGGCCUGUGGCUCUCGGAGAAGAACCAGAAGGAAGCUUAGAGAAUCCUGCCCCCUCGUGUGAUUAACAGUGACUGAGGGGCGAGAGGGAGGGCAUUUAGCGUCACUGCCAUGUGGCAAACAGAAGGGGCGUCUGGGGAAGAACCAGAAGCAGAGCCCAGGGGAGAGCUGGCAAGGAGGGGACCAGAUUCUACCAGCCCCCUAGAAAGAAUCUCUUCCUCCAGCAGGAAGAGCCCAUGUUACUUUCUUCAUGUGGUCUCAUCAUCUAAUCUAUAAACAGCACCAGGAAUGUCGGCACAGGUGUGUGUUUAUGCCUUCCUUUUUUUUUUUCCUUAAAAAGUGAUUUAUGGGGAGUCGGGCUGUAGUGCAGCGGGUUACACGCUGGUGCAAAGCGCAAGGACCGGGUAAGGACCCCGGUUUGAGCCCCCGGCUCCCCACCUGCAGAGGAGUCGCUUCAAAAGCAGUGAAGCAGGUCUGCAGGUGUCUAUCUUUCUCUCCCCCUCUCUGUCUUCCCCUCCUCUCUCCAUUUCUCUCUGUCCUAUCCAACAGCAACGACAUCAGUAAUGACUACAGCAAUAAAACAGCAAGGGCAACAAAAGGGAAUAAAUAAAUAUUUUUAAAAAGUGAUUUAUGGGAGUCAGGUGGUAGCUCAGCGGGUUAAGUGCACGCGGCGCAAUGCACAGGGACCAGCAUAAGGAUCCCAGUUCGAGCCCCCGGCUCCCCACCUGCAGGGGAGUCGCAUCACAGGCGGUGAAGCAGGUCUGCAGGUGUCUUAUCUUUCUCUCCUCCUCUCUGUCUUCCCCUCCUCUCUCCAUCUCUCUCUGUCCUAUCCGACAAUGAUGACAUCAGUAACUACAACAAUAAUAAAAAUCAACAAGGGCAACAAAAGGGAAAAUAAAUAUUAAAGAUUUUUUUUUAAAAAAAGUGAUUUAUAUGGGCCAGCAGGAUAGCUUACCUGAGAGUGCACCUGCUUUGCCUUAUACAUGACUCAGGUUGAGCCCAUCCCCCCUUGCACUGGGGGGAGCUUCAGGGCUGUGGUGUCUUCCCCUCUCUCCCUUUGUCUCUGUUAAAGUCAGCUUGGAGCAAUGAAGCCCCAGAAAUAGCAAAAAAAAAUCUAACCCUAGGGGAGUCGGGCUGUAGCGCAGCAGGUUAAGUGCAGGUGACGCAAAGCACAAGGACUGGCAUAAGGAUCCCGGUUCAAACCCCGGCUCCCCACCUGCAGGGGAGUCACUUCACAGGCGGUGAAGCAGGUCUGCAGGUGUCUAUCUUUCUCUCCUCCUCUCUGUCUUCCCCUCCUCUCUCCAUUUCUCUCUGUCCUAUCCAACAACG